rnacentral:rRNA from 1 species
UACGAAGGGGGCUAGCGUUGUUCGGAUUUACUGGGCGUAAAGCGCACGUAGGCGGAUCUUUAAGUCAGGGGUGAAAUGCCGGAGCUCAACUUCGGAACUGCCUUUGAUACUGGAGAUCUUGAGUUCGGGAGAGGUGAGUGGAACUGCGAGUGUAGAGGUGAAAUUCGUAGAUAUUCGCAAGAACACCAGUGGCGAAGGCGGCUCACUGGCCCGGUACUGACGCUGAGGUGCGAAAGCGUGGGGAGCAAACAGG